AUUGAACGCUGGCGGCAUGCCUUACACAUGCAAGUCGAACGGCAGCACGGGGGCAACCCUGGUGGCGAGUGGCGAACGGGUGAGUAAUAUAUCGGAACGUGCCCUAGAGUGGGGGAUAACGUAGCGAAAGUUACGCUAAUACCGCAUACGAUCUAUGGAUGAAAGUGGGGGAUCGCAAGACCUCAUGCUCGUGGAGCGGCCGAUAUCUGAUUAGCUAGNGGUAGGGUAAAGCCUACCAAGGCAUCGAUCAGUAGCUGGUUUGAGAGAACGACCAGCCACACUGGGACUGAGACACGGCCCAGACUCCUACGGGAGGCAGCAGUGGGGAAUUUUGGACAAUGGGGGCAACCCUGAUCCAGCAAUGCCGCGUGAGUGAAGAAGGCCUCGG
rnacentral:rRNA from 1 species